AUGAAAUGGAGAACUGCUUCUCAUGUGACAAUUGUCAUGGGAAACUACGUCAGCAGUGCAGUGCUGAGUUUGUCUUUAUUUUGCCCGUAAGCAGAAAAAAGGUUGAAACAUUAGAGGAAGCAGAGAAAAUUGCCGUAAAACCGGUUUUGAAAAUGUCGAGCACGGAAUAAGCGAACGAUUUUACCUGACAAUUCGCUUGAAACGAUCUUUGAUUAUCUACUGUUACGGACGUCAAUGUAUAAAAUACAUCGCGUUCAGGAAGUACCGAAGUGACCAGUGAGGGUUAAAAUUGGCCACAACUCGUAUAUAGCAGGCUAACUUAUCCCAUUUGAAAGGUUUCGGGAAAAAAAUAUUUGUUGAAACUGAGGAAGAAGCAUAUGUGGUAGGCGAUAUUGAGAAGUAAUCUGUAACUGUCCCGUGCAUCACUUGCGGCAUCGCUGUUACGGCCAGUAAUGCAAUCCGACAAGUGGAGCCAUAUACCAUCAAAUACGAAAGCCAUGUCCCUCGGCUCAAUCUACCAAACCUAAAAAAAAGCCGAUGAUGCCUUAGCAAUCCCAGUAGCCGAAGAUGAUGUAAGCUACUUCAACUUGUGUCUGGAGCAUUGGCAAGAUCCUAAGAAGUUAGAUCAAUGACACUGAUGUAUGCGGGUAUCCUUAAGUACGGGAAGUCUUUGAAGAAACUGAAGAAUCCUAUCUUAUUCACUAACAGAAGUCUCGAGCGUAACUUGGAAAGAAGAAAUCCAAAUGGAAAAAGUACGGCAGUUGCUUUAUUAAAGUAAAUUAUUUAUUCUCAGAUGAACGACAGAAUUUGACUGCCAUAACUCAGCGAGCUGUACUUUUACGAGUUAGAAUUCAGUUACUUCCUACCAUGAAUUGAUGCAGCAGCAAUACUCCGGACACUGCUGAAAGAGCACACACACGCGGCAGAAACCGGCGAGAUCAUUGCAGCCAAUAAAAACGCCUUUAAAAAACAACCACAUGUAUACAUAUACUAUUUCCCUCGUUUUUUGCUGUUUUAUACGACUGCCAAUUGAUUCUCUGGUGUCACUUUUUCCAUGACUUUGAAGUUGAGAAAUUCUUUUUACAACUCGCGUUGGUUGUAAAUUACGAUAACAGAUGGCGCAACUGCGCCUCUGUCUAUGUUUUGUGUGUGACAAGUGAAACCUGUUUGAAUAUUUGUGAACUUUGUGAACUAUACUAUUACAUUACAGUGAUAAGUUUGAUAAAAUUAAAUGGUGUGAUUUCAACUAUUGAGUUUUUCAUUCAUUCCUUGUUUUGGAGUGAAAAAAAUCAAGUGGAUUAUUUUUGUGCAAUAGGUAAACUUGUGUUCAGCUAUGCCAGCUGCCAGAUCCAAACUAUUACUUUUACACUCCAUCUCCUCUAUUACUAUUCUAUUGCACGUUGAGAGAAGUAGUUGAUGAAACCUACAUAGCAAAAGAUACUAACCGUAGGAAAGGUUAGAAAUGACACAAACCAUGAGUUGGAAUACCAUCAUGACAUUAACGUCAUUCUGCUACUCUUUACUCAUUCAUCAUGUCCUGUCAGUUUUGAUCUGAAAAGUGCACCAUAAUAUUGUGUUGCAAUAUUAACCAUAACAAUUUCAAAAAUCUUCUCGUCAUUUCUACUUAGCCUAUCAAGUGGCAGGAUUUUGAGUUGCAGGAAUGCUGGCCUCGAAGGGAGAUCACCAACAAGGCAAAAUCAAUGGAUUGGAAUACCUCAGAUCAUUCUAUACUCUUUGCCCACUCAUCAUCUCAUGUAAUUUUCAAUCCGCCAACACAUGUCUUCGCCUUGCCCGUCGCCCAGUCUUGGCUUCGCCCGUCGUCCCAUCAUCGCUUCGCCCGUCGCCCCGUCUUCGCUUCGCCCGUCGCCCCGUCUUCGCUUCGCCCGUCGCCCCGUCUUCGCUUCGCCC